UACGGAGGGUGCAAGCGUUGUUCGGAAUUAUUGGGCGUAAAGCGCGUGUAGGCGGCUAUUUAAGUCUGAUGUGAAAGCCCGGGGCUCAACCUCGGAAGUGCAUUUGAUACUGGCAAGCUCGAGUCCGGAAGAGGGUGGCGGAAUACCCAGUGUAGAGGUGAAAUUCGUAGAUAUUAGGAGGAACACCGGUGGCGAAGGCGGCUUGCUGGACAAAUACUGACGCUGAGGUGCGAAAGCGUGGGGAGCAAACAGG
rnacentral:rRNA from 1 species